UUGGAUUCACUUAAAUGUUUGUUUUAUGUUGCCACACCUGUUUGUUUUCCACUUUCCCUUUGUUUCAGCCUGGACCUGCAGCAGUGUUUCAAGUCUCUGCCCUUUCUUGCAGGUAAGUGCUAUUGUGGUUUAGUAUGGUUGUUUUAGCAUGCAUUAGGCAGUGUAGGACCUGCCAGAUAUGGGGUACAUUGGCGUUGUUGGCAGGCUUAUGCAAUGUAU